rnacentral:rRNA from 1 species
AACGAACGCUGGCGGCAGGCUUAACACAUGCAAGUCGAACGCCCCGCAAGGGGAGUGGCAGACGGGUGAGUAACGCGUGGGAACGUGCCCUUCGCUUCGGAAUAUUCCCGGGAAACUGGGAGCAAUGCCGGAUACGCCGAAUUGGGAAAGAUUUAUCGGCGAAGGAUCGGCCCGCGUUAGAUUAGGUAGUUGGUGGGGUAAUGGCCUACCAAGCCUACGAUCUAUAGCUGGUCUGAGAGGAUGAUCAGCCACACUAGGACUGAGACACGGCCCAGACUCCUACGGGAGGCAGCAGUGGGGAAUCUUGGACAAUGGGCGCAAGCCUGAUCCAGCCAUGCCGCGUGAGUGAAGAAGGCCUUAGGGUUGUAAAACUCUUUCGCCGGUGAAGAUAAUGACGGUAGCCGGAGAAGAAGCCCCGGCUAACUUCGUGCCAGCAGCCGCCGCCGUAA